GCCGGUUCUCCUACGAUCACCGAAGUUAAGCAAUAUCAAGCCUGGUUAAUACCUAGAUUGGUGACGGCUCGGGAAUACCUGGUGC